rnacentral:lncRNA from 1 species
UUGAAUUAUUUUUUAAACUUAUUAAGCUUUCAAGCUAAAGCUGAACAAUCUAUUAGCUAACUUAUUAAGCUUUCUAAACCUGAACAAUCUAUUGGGCUCGUAAUUGGCUCGAAACUCGAUUGAAAUCAAUCGGCUUGAUAAAUAAACGAAACUUAAAGAUAUUUUAAAAUUUGAUAAGUUUUUUAAAUUAAGCUUUUGAAUAAUUUCACUCUUCUGUGUUAGACUCAUUGAGCGAUGACUCACCUCCCCAAAUGAUACCAAAAGCAUCCCACAAUUAUAAAGCACUAGUGCAUAGGUGAAGAAUCACAAAAAUUAAGUGGCCUUUUAAUCUCUAUUUUUGAUUCUUAAUUUAUUAAGCUUUUCUCUUUUUCUUUUUAUUUUUACUUACUUUUCUUUUUUAAAAGGAGUGAUUUUUACACAUUAUUUUAAUUAAAAUAAAAAUAAUAUUUUUAUAUUUUAUUACGGAAACUUGCAAAAUUUUCUUUGUAUUUUGUGGAAAAUCAAAUUACAAGAUAUUAAAUAAAAUAGCAAUUUUUUAAUUUUGUAAAAUAAACAUAAACAAGGAUAUUUGUAAAGGUUCUGUGUCUCAAUUCCAUCACAAUUCCAACGUUAAAUAACAAAAGUGACCUUUGAAUCUUGCCCUUGAUCAUUGCUCUGCGGCCGACCAACUGGGGCAUCCCCAUGUGGCUAUUUCAGACUUUUUCUUCUGCUCAACAUGUGAACGUUUUACGACAAACUGCGGCAUCGCCAUGUGGCUAUUUCCAACUUUUUUCUGCUUAACGUGUGAAUGUUUUCAAGACAAUUAAUCACACCUGUAGCCCUUACAGUUUUACACAAAUCUCACUUAAGCUCUUAUACUUUCAAUUGAAGCAAAUAAGCACAAUAUAGUCCAAUCGCCGAACAUGGUUUCAUAAAUUAACGGCACGAAGCAAUAGGAGGAGCACAUGAGGGUUGUAGAAGUUAGCCCAUGGAAAUAAAAGAGGGUCGUUCUGCCAAAAUGCAAUUCCCAUAGGGAGAGAUUUGCAUUAAAAGAUGGAGAGAUGAUGAGAGAGAUUACAUUAGAGAGAGAGAGAUAGUGGUUGUGGGGGAAGAAAGAGAAAGCAUAUGGAGAGAGAUUGUGAGAGAAAUAGAAAAUGAAUAUAAAUAGGAGAGAGAAACGAUUAUUGUUCAUCAUUUAUCAUUUAUAAAUACCUCAUAAACAAAGGUAUUGUGUCUCGGUUCUUUCACCAUUCAAAAUUUAAAUCACAAAAGUGGCCUUUGAAUCUUGACCAUUGAUCAUUGCUUUGUGGCCGACAAACUGGGGCAUCCCUGUGGCUCUUUCCAACUUUUUUCUGCUGAAGUGGCCUUUGAAUCUUGACCGUUGAUCAUUGCUUUGUGGCCGACAAACUGGGGCAUCCCAUGUGGCUAUAUCCGCCUUUUUUCUGCUUAACCCCAAAAUCACGCAACAAUUACUAUUAUAAAACUGAUCAUAUAGAUUCUUAUUUUAUUGGCUAUGUCACGAACAAAUUUUUUCUCUAUUGAUUUUAACCUACAUGGGUAAUCAUGUCCAUCAAUAUAUUCUGAUGAUGGAUGAUUAUAAAACAUAGAACAAACACAUUAAAAAUCCACAUUCACACAUCUGGACGAUUAUUGGUUAUUACUUGCAGCUUCAAAUGAGUAUUCCAUUUUUUUUUAAUCUCGUAUGUUUUUUAAGGAUUGCCCAUCAACCAGAAUCGUGGCGGGGUUUAUUUAUAAUUCCCUUCUUUUUCACACAUAAGAUGUGUUUGUGCUCAAAACUAAGUAUCGGACACACACAACUAAAAGACAAUAAGAUUUACGUGGUUCGCCCACAUGCCUACGUCCACGGCGAGAAUCAACAAAUCCCAAUGUCAAACGAAGGAGGAUUACAACGGAGGAGACUCGAUUUUUUUUUCGCCUCAACUCACACCCUCUCUCACAACUCUUUCUGUCUUGCCUCUCACAAUCUCACCUCACAACCAUCUGCUCUCGCCCCACAAUACAACGCACGUAGGAAAAUCUCAAGCACCCUAUCAUCCCUUUUAUAGACCCAAGGGAAGGAGUGGGUGGUGGACUCCUUACAAGAAUACCUAUCAUUAUCCUAAUCUAUCUAGGAAAACAAAAAUAUAAAGACUCUCCAAGAUUCUAGAUAACUCGAGAGUUUCACCCUCACUGGACACUCCAUAUGAAACUCAAGCGGGCUUGGGCUGGCUACUGGGCUUGGACUAUCCAAGUGGGUCUUAGGACUCAUUCCAGAUGGGCUGGACUCAAAACAAGAUGGACACUUUGGGCAAGCUUGUCGUCUUCUAAAUUAACAAAAUUUUAAUAAUCACCACAAUACCAUUCUCCAGAUCAUCUGUCUUCAUCAAAUUUAUCAUAUCUUCUCUACUUUCAAAUAUCUAUAUAGAAAAAUAUGACGAAAAUGUAUAAGUGCAACAUUAUCCAGUCUUAACUUAAUUUCUCUACUUAUAAAAUAAAUAAUAAAUAUGCAUAAAACAACGAUAAUAACUAAUAUGAUUUGUGGUAAAUUCAAUUGUAUAAUCGUGACUGUUGGUGGAGAUGGUCUCCUCAUUAGGAACAUCAUUCUUAAAUGAUCAAUUAUCUGAAAAUGAACCGAAAUAGUCAUCCAUAAUGUUUUUCUAUGAAUUAUGACGGGUGGGGUAUCGGGUUGGGGUGGUAAGAGUUGGAGGUUCUGACAUGUGUCAAGAGCUGGGGGUAAUUUAAAAGGAAGGGGAGGUUCUGAUACGUGUCAAAAAUUAAAUAAAAAGAAUUGAUGAAAAAAAUAAUAAACAAAACUGAUUUAAAAAAAUAAAUAAAACUAAUAAAAUAAAAGAAAUAAAAGUAAAUAAAAAUUAAACAAAGCUGAAAAGAAAAAAAAAUACAAGUGGGGUGGUUCGGCUGAGUUAUAAUUUUAAGGGAGAGAAAGGAUAUAAAAGUAUCUCAUUGGGAAAAGGUUUUGGGGAAGUAAUUUGCGCAGGUUAUUUUUGACUUUAACAUGUGAACGUUUUGCUGACUUCGAAUUUUUUUUCUGCUUAACAUGUGAAUCAUACUUAUUAGAAUCGGACCGGUCAAACGGUUUAAUCAGGAAUCGGACACUUAACUAAUCCGAUAAACAUAUUUUAUCGAAAAUGCAAUCGAACCGCAUUAAACUGAAAAAAUCGGGUGAUAUUUUAUCAGACCGGGCUGUAUUUUAUCAAAAAAAAGGGGCAAUUCUUUUAACACAUGCAAUUUUUUUUGAAUUUGUAUUUGUGUUGUUGUUGUGUACUUUUGGUAGUUAAUUUACUUUUGGAGUUGUGUGUUGACUGUUAAAAACUAGUGGUAGUUAAUUUGUACUUGUGGUGUUGUUGUACUUGUGGUUUUUAGCUCAUUUAGUAUUUAUAGAAUUUUUUUAUAUUUUAGUAUCACUUGUAUAGUUGCUUUAUACGUGCUGUUAAUUUUAAGGUAUGGAGUCAUUGAAGAUUUAAUUUUUUAAUUAAAUAUAUUUUUAUUAUUUAUUAAUUAUAAGACCGGUUGAACCGAUUGAAUCAUGAUUGAACCAGCGAACGGUUGAACCGGUGCUUUGACCGGUUCAAUGUCCGGUCGGGUUCUGAUAAUUGUGUGCGAAUGUUUUGAGAGAAUAAAUCACACUUGUACCCCUUAUAGUUUUACCAAAAUCUCUCUUAAGCUCUUAUACUUUCAAUUGAAGCAAAUAAGCUAGUAUUUCACUUUGUAUCGUAUUUCAAUGUAGUCCAAUCACCGAACUCGGUUUCAUAAAUUAAUGGCAUAAAGCAAUAGGAGGAGCACAUGAGGGCUGUGGAAGUCAACCCAUGGAAAUAAAAGUGGGUUGUUCGGACAAAAUGCAAUUCCCACAACAGAUUGGAGGGAGAAAAGAGCAUAAAAGGGAGGGAAGAUUGUGUGUGAGUGAGUAAGUGAGUGAGAGAGAGAGAGAUGUCGCGCUCAGACGAUGGCCAUGGACAAAGGGAGAUAAUGUCCAUGUGCUGACCUCACAUCCCUCUGUCUGCUAAUUUAUGAGAUAGGUUGUUAAUUAGCUACAUUAAAAUACAAUACAAUAAUUUUUUCUAUUAGGGAGGGGGGAGAAGAGGAGAAAGAUGGGUAGGGGUUGAAAAGAACGAUGGGUUAGGGGAAGUAGAGGAGAUACAUCAACAAUAGGGGACCGUGACAAUUUUUUUAAUUGAUUGAAAGUAUACGGGCUUAAGUAGAAUUUGGGUAAAACUAUAGGGGGUAUAAAUGUAGGUUAGGAAUGUUUUGAAUUUGUUAUGCUCAAUUGCAAGUUGGCAUCUGAAGGCAUUAAUUUCUAAAAUUCACAUCUACACUCUAAUUUUAGAAAUAUUGGCCUUGUUUGAGCCAUGGACAAAGAGAGGAGUAAUUUCCAUGGGCUGACCUCCACAUCCCUCAUGUCUGCUAAUUUAUGAGAUAGUGUUAGUUGAUUAGGCUACAUUAAAAUACAAUACAAUAAUUUUUUUUUUGUAAUUGAUUGAAAGUAUACGGGCUUAAGUAGAAUUUGGGUAAAACUAUAGGGGGUAUAAAUGUAGGUUAGGAAUGUUUUGAAUUUGUUAUGCUCAAUUGCAAGUUGGCAUCUGAAGGCAUUAAUUUCUAAAAUUCACAAUCUACAGCUAACUCUAAUUUUAAAAAAUUGGUGGCCUUUUGAUAACCGGGAUGGGAGGGGGACUACCAAAUCCGUGGGGGCCCCUAUCGUGUUUUGUUUCAUUUCAGCCGGAUGGGCGGACACUAAUAGUCCGACCGGAAUUACGAAUCCCCCCAAGGGGUGUUUGCUAAUCCCAUGGGGGGUGGGAUUAAUACAAUCCCCUACCCGAGCCCUCAAAAUGACAUUUUUAUUAAAAACCCUUGAUAUUUGUAUAUUUGUGAAUUAAAGGUUAAUAUAAAAUUUUAAUAUAUGAAAAAAUUUUCAUAAAAUUUUUGACACUAUUGACCCACAUUACCUUUGAUAUUUACUAAUCACUCCCCUGCUCAUUUAAUCCCGUUCAACCCAACCCCACGGUCGG